UAGGAUGAAAGCCGAGGAAGGGCAGGUCUGAUGAGAUGGAGAGAGGCCAGCUUCCCCUCCUCUGGGCAGGGGAAGCUCCAGGGGUUGGGGUGUUUGCACACUGACGGCUGUGACCCAGGAGAGGGGGAAAGUGGCCAGAGAUGGGCACCAAGGGAGAGUUGCCAGAGCCGUAGUCUCUAGCAGGUCAUGCAGAUGCAAGCCAGGCUGCCAGGGCAGGACACAGCUCUCCAGGGCACCUGAUAACCAAAGGGUCAAGUUUAUCAUCAGUCAUUGCAAGUUGCCACCCACCCACCACCACCACCACCACCACCGACUGGAGGAAUCAGACUUGGUUCCU